GUGGGGAAUAUUCCGCAAUGGACGAAAGUCUGACGGAGCAACGCCGCGUGAGUGAUGAAGGUUUUCGGACUGUAAAGCUCUGUUGUUUAGGACGAAAGUGCCUGUUGCAAAUAGUUACAGGUAUUGACGGUACUGAACGAGGAAGCCACGGCUAACUACGUGCCAGCAGCCGCGGUAAUACGUAGGUGGCAAGCGUUGUCCGGAAUUAUUGGGCGUAAAGAGCAUGUAGGCGGGAAUCUAAGUCUGUUGUGAAAAUGCGGGGCUCAACCCCGUAUUGCGAUGGAAACUGGGUUUCUUGAGUGCAGGAGAGGAAAGGGGAAUUCCCAGUGUAGCGGUGAAAUGCGUAGAUAUGGGGAGGAACACCAGUGGCGAAGGCGGCUUUCUGGACGGUGUCUGACACUGAGGCGCGAAAGCCAGGGGAGCGAACGGGAUUAGAAACCCAAGUAGUCC
rnacentral:rRNA from 1 species